rnacentral:rRNA from 1 species
UACGGGGGGAGCAAGCGUUGUUCGGAUUUACUGGGCGUAAAGGGCGCGUAGGUGGCCCGACAAGUCACUGGUGAAAGCUCGACGCUCAACGUCGAGUCGGCCAGUGAUACUGUUGGGCUGGAGCACUGUAGAGGCUCAUGGAAUUCCGGGUGUAGCGGUGGAAUGCGUAGAGAUCCGGAAGAACACCAGUGGCGAAGGCGGCCUGCUGGGCAGUGGGACCGAAAGGUCUCUUCAACCGACACUGAGGCGCGACAGCGUGGGGAGC